GAACGUUACUUAAUGAAAAUAUUUUAAUUAAAAAUCAAUAAUUUAAUAUUUAUAAAAUGCUACUUUUCCAUCUUGCAACACCGCCAACACUGGACAUUAGUUCCACGAGUAGCCGCUGUCGCAAGUAUCAAGAAGAACUGUCAAAAUUUUAAAAGGUUUCACUGUUAGCCACAGUAAAAACCAACUGGGGGGUGUACUGUGCUGUUAGCUGAACCUCCAAAUAAAUAAGUUCCAAGUGGUCGGUGGCUUUUUGAACAAAAAAAGGAAUCACCUUUUAGUUAUUUUUUUAUACGGAAGCUAUCGUAAUUAAGUUGAAGGAGGAGAAAGUUUUGUUUUGUUGAAGAAGAAAAGUAUUAAUUUGGUAAAAAUUUGGGAUGAUUGCUAUCGGCCACUUGGAACCACUGGAAUAUUCAUCCCACUAACAUCAGGGAUGAAAUAAAAAAAAACUUUAGCGCAGUCACGGGGUAGCCUAGGAGCUGGAAUCGUCUUUUGAGUUGGUUUUUGGACUACCAUUAUUUUGUUUGGAACUUUGGAAAAGACUUUACGUUAGUUGGUGUUGGACAGUGAUUAAGUAUUUUUUUUUUAUUAUUAUUCUCAAGAACAUUAAUUUUUUCUAAAUAAUUGGAACAUUAAAUAUCUAUUAAAAAUAUCAAAUUAAAUAAGUUUACAUUAUACUCCACUAAGUUAGUCAUAAUUUUUCAAACAAAAAACAAAAGAAAUAAUUUAAAUGUUUUCAAUUUUUAAUAAUAAAUAAUACCUCCUCUUCAAGGCUUCAAAUUUGCAUUUUUCUAAUAAAUUAAUUUCUUUUGUUUCUUUUCUCACGUGUAAAGGUAAUUGAGCUCAACUAUCCGGAGAAAAAUUUGGUAAAUUUUUUAUAUAUUAUAAUUACUGAACCUUGGCUUUUGUCCCCCUCAGGGUAAUUGACCAUUUAACUUGUUUUUUUAUUAUUGUAACCGCACAUGAAGUUAGAGUUUUACCUCGAGUAGUGUGUCGGUUCAUUUUUGUACCAUAAAUUGGAUUUGACAUUUCAAACCAAUUUUUAGGGGUGGACUUUGUUCCUCUUUUGUUUAAACUACUCUGUAGACUGUAAAUUGUACAUACUUUAUUAGUAAAAUAUUUUUUAUUAAUUUUAGGGUAUACCUUGUUGGUACAUAUAUGAAUUUUUUUGUACAUAUAAGUAAAAGCUAAAUACACUAUUGAUUGGGUUGUAUAA